UUAGCUUCUGUCAGAUAGAGAAACCCAGAAAUUUUUUGAAGAAAUUGGAGAAGUAAAAACAUUACAACAACUUCAAAAAGAAACCCAGAAGCAUGGUCAGCUAGAUAAAUGGGCUAACUUUCGCGGGCCUCGGCCCGAUGAUGAUAACUCCAUGAAAACCUUCAUGAAGAUCAAAGAGGAGGGUGACAAAGAAGCCGCGGCCAAAAACAAACGAUUGAGGAGCAGUGAAGAUUACAAAAAACAACAGGAAGUUAAAAGAAAGUUUUACGAAACGAUUCAACAUCAGCAGGAUAUUGCAAUGAAAAAUAAGUGAAGUUCUUUAAGUAUGAUUGUUAUAUAGUAUUUUAAAAGUGAAGGCUUGUGUGGAACAAAGCUUCAGUUACUUAAGCUGUGUUUCCAUAAUUGCAUUUUUGAAUGUGUGAAAGAUAAUUGAAAACAUUAGAUGUAUACAUGUAUUAUUUGAUUAAAGUGAAAAUAUGGGGUGCACUACAAUCUUUCAUUCAUGUGAAAUACCUUUACAGUAUAAUAUUGUGUAAUGAUGUACCGUCAUUGAGCAAUAUUUUCUUUCAGCUUUCAAUUGUUGACUUUUUUUAGCACUGAAGUGUAUAUCGUAUUUCCAAUGGAAAAGAUAUUUUUUGUAGCACUUGUUUGUUUUAAUGCAAUAUGCAAUAAAAGAUUUCAAAAUACUUAA